GUGAGGAAUAUUGGUCAAUGGACGAGAGUCUGAACCAGCCAAGUCGCGUGAAGGAAGACGGUUCUAUGAAUUGUAAACUUCUUUUGUGCAGGAAUAAAGUGGGUUACGUGUAACCUUUUGUAUGUACUGUACGAAUAAGGAUCGGCUAACUCCGUGCCAGCAGCCGCGGUAAUACGGAGGAUCCGAGCGUUAUCCGGAUUUAUUGGGUUUAAAGGGUGCGUAGGUGGAUUGAUAAGUCAGCGGUGAAAGUUUGCAGCUUAACUGCAAAAUUGCCGUUGAAACUGUCGGUCUUGAGUGCAAAUGAGGUAGGCGGAAUGUGUUGUGUAGCGGUGUAAUGCUUAGAUAUAACACAGAACUCCGAUUGCGAAGGCAGCUUACUGGGAUGCAACUGACACUGAUGCACGAAAGCGUGGGUAUCAAACAGGAUUAGAAACCCCGGUAGUCC
rnacentral:rRNA from 1 species